rnacentral:sRNA from 1 species
UAACAAGGAUUCCCCUAGUAACUGCGAGUGAAGCGGGAAAAGCUCAAAUUUAAAAUCUGGUGGUCUCUGGCCGCCCGAGUUGUAGUCUGGAGAAGUGCUUUCCGCGCUGGACCGUGUAUAAGUCUCUUGGAACAGAGCGUCAUAGAGGGUGAGAAUCCCGUCUUUGACACGGACUACCAGUGCUUUGUGAUGCGCUCUCAAAGAGUCGAGUUGUUUGGGAAUGCAGCUCAAAAUGGGUGGUGAAUUCCAUCUAAAGCUAAAUAUUGGCGAGAGACCGAUAGCGAACAAGUACCGUGAGGGAAAGAUGAAAAGCACUUUGGAAAGAGAGUUAAACAGUACGUGAAAUUGCUGAAAGGGAAACGCUUGAAGUCAGUCGCGUUGUUCAGAACUCAGCCUUGCUUUUGCUUGGUGCACUUUCUGGAUGACGGGCCAGCAUCGAUUUUGACCGUCGGAAAAGGGCUGGAGUAAUGUGGCACCUUCGGGUGUGUUAUAGACUCUAGUCGCAUACGGCGGUUGGGAUCGAGGACCGCAGCGCGCCGCAAGGCAGGGGUUCGCCCACUUUCGCGCUUAGGAUGCUGGC